AGAGAAACCAUGCAAGGACCUCCCCUGUGUAGAUGGAGGCAAAUAGUGCCCAGUAAUAUAUUUAGCAAGUGAGUAUGCAAGCCACAGAAAAACAGUGAGGAGAAGGAUGAAAAAAUAAGUCAUUUGUUGCAAAGUUAUAUUUAGACCCAAGCAGAUUAAAUAUUUCUCAGAUGAAAUUCUCCCACUAUAUUGCUGCAGCCCUAUUAAAGUGAAAUGAGUUUUGUCAGUGGCAACAAGGAAAAUUUGGUCCAUUGCAUCUAAUAAUGCCCAGCUCUUACAUAGUGCUGUUUAUCUGUCAAUCCCAGAGUGCUUUAAAAGAAGGUCGCUAUCUUAAGCCAAAUUUCACCAGAUGCAAAAACAGACACAGCUGAAGUCACUUGCCAAACAUCAUCAAUAGCAUAGUUAGGAAUCAACCCUCAGGUUUUCUGAAACCUAUUCCAGGGCUCUGUCUAAUAGAGCACAGCAACAGGGAGCUGCUGGAGAGUGCUGGUUGAAUACUGCACCCUGUUAUAAUGUAUAGCGAGCUGACCAUGAUGAAAUUGAAGCAGGGCCUUUAGAACAAGGAGCUCUGUUGCCUAAAGAAGACUGGACACAACACUGACUUAAUGGAACCCCACUUUAUUCAGUGCACCAGCGGAAGAUAUGAGAACACCAC